ensembl:lncRNA
CUUGCAACACAGUGAGGCUGAGGCCCUCAGGAGACUCUACCGAGACCCAGGCGGGGCAGGGCUCACUCUGGGAGGAGAGGACACCCGGUCACCUGUAGGAGUGUCGCUUAAAUCGGGAUUUCAGGCUGGCGGGAGGUGAGCUGAAACGCAAGCCUGACAAAGGCACCUGAAGCAGAUCAUGGGGGUGGGGAUCAUCACAUCAAACCCGGGAGAACUUCCCUCCAUCCCAGACCUCCAGGGACGGUCCAGCUCCCCCUUCCCCUGUGUGUCCAGGCUGCUCUGUCCGCCUGUCCAGUGCUCCAGCAAAGAGGCCUCUUCUCAGAGGCAGAAACCCUCCUGGGCCGAGUCAUCUGAUCCCAGAGCCCCCUCUCUGCGAGACGCCCCCUCCAGAUGGAAGUCGUCCUGCUUGUUGUCCACAGCGCUUUAUACUUGCCGUGUGCAUUGCGUGAAGCUUUUUCCUCAUCUCUGUGUGGUCAAGUCCUUGCACCCAGGGGUCAAGGCUUUACGAUUCCUGUCUCCCCAGGCUGCCUGGACCACAGAACUGUUGGUUUAACUGACUUGGAUGAUGAUAUUUGCUCUGGGAUAUUCCAAGCACAGCAACUAGUGUGGGUGCCCGAACCUCAGCUGGCCCCUAACCUUUCCGGGUGGAAUUCAACCCUGACGCUGUCAGGAUGCCUAAGCCACAGUUUUGAAGGCUCCCACCCAGGGAACCCCGGAGGAAGGAUGGCCGCUGUCUCCUCUGAUGACGCUGAUGGCUCCAUACUGCAUAGGACACCGCCCCCUCCAGAUGGAAAGAACGCAGAGAGGGGAUGGCAGAGGGAAGACUGUCCUCUCCGAGAGGUCUCCCCCUAGGAAUGGCCGAAUGCAGGGUUUCAGGCGGUGGCUUGUCUCCAGGACCCUCUGAGCCCCACACCUGCCCCCAGUCCUCUGGUCACGUCUCUGUCCCGAACCCUCUGACUCUCCCGAGAAGGCCAGCUUCCUGGAGUCUGGACCGCUUCACCACCCCAACACCCAGAGCCAACACUUGGAUAGCUGCAGAGAUCUCCAUCCAGAGAAGGGGAUGCAAAAACGGGGCUCCCUCCCAGCCCUGGAGAGAGAUUCCAGCCAGAAGAAGCAAAGACGAUCCGGGGAGGAUGCCAAAGGCUUUGAUCUCAGAGACCUCCCCCUUGCCUUGUGAGUCUGAGACACGUGUUCUCAGCUAUCCUGGAGAAGGGUGUGGCUUUCACGCUCUCUCCUUUCCCCCGGGUUAGAUGGCUGUGGCUCCUUAUUGCUUCUCCUAAUGGGCCGUCAGAUACUUUGGUAGUUACACAUCCUCACACAGGUGUACGGAGCUUAGAUAAUUUCAGGACGCUCAGGGACCAGCUGCCCACACAGGAACAGAGAGGAGCAUUCAUCUACAUGCAGUUUCGUAAUACGCUUUUAAAUUUUACCAUCGUAUUGAAGCCUCCUCCCCACAUCGUCUUCAGAAACACUCCACAAAAUAUUUUCAUCUCAAUUUCUUCCUUUUCAUGCUUUUAAAAUAUAUG